rnacentral:rRNA from 1 species
AUUGAACGCUGGCGGCAGGCCUAACACAUGCAAGUCGAACGAGUGGCGGACGGGUGAGAAAUGUCUGGGAAACUGCCUCAUGGAGGGGGAUAAAUACUGGAAACAGUAGCUAAUACCGCAUACCAUCAGAUGUGCCCAGAUGGGAGUCGCUUGUUGGUGGGGUAACGGAUCACCAAGGCGACGAUCCCUAGCUGGGCUGAGAGGAUGACCAGCCACGCUGGAACUUGGAAACGGUCCAGACUCCGACGGGAGGCAGCAGUGGGGAAUAUCGCACAAUGGGUGCAAGCCUGAUGCAGCCAUGCCGCGUGUAUGAAGAAGGCCUUCGGGUUGUAAAGUACUUUCAGCGGGGAGGCGUUACCCGCAGAAGAAGCACCGGCUAACUCCGUGCCAGCAGCCGCGGUAAUUC